rnacentral:rRNA from 1 species
UACGUAGGGUGCGAGCGUUGUCCGGAAUUACUGGGCGUAAAGCGCACGCAGGCGGUCUGUCAAGUCGGAUGUGAAAUCCCCGGGCUCAACCUGGGAACUGCAUUCGAAACUGGCAGGCUAGAGUCUUGUAGAGGGGGGUAGAAUUCCAGGUGUAGCGGUGAAAUGCGUAGAGAUCUGGAGGAAUACCGGUGGCGAAGGCGGCCCCCUGGACAAAGACUGACGCUCAGGUGCGAAAGCGUGGGGAGCAAACAGG